CAGUUCAGUGAGAGGCAGCACAGAUAAUGAGGAAAUAACCAGGUCUGUAAUGAAUAAGCCGUUUAGAAUGAACUAAACGAACUCUAUAUAGCGCAUCACAGGGAUGUAACCCAAUACGAAAGCGUUAUUUGGAAUGAGCAGAUUAUUGUUCUAAACAGAAAUAAUCACCUCUAAUAAUACCCAGAAAUAAUACACUCCCAGUGUGGAAUGAUUAAUAUAUGAUUGCUCUCUCUUUUUUUUUGUUUUUUUUUUAUAGCUAAUCUACACACACAACGCUUAACAAUUAGAUCGAUGAAGUUUACCGAAGCUGACACAACAAAAUGCAAAAGCUAUAGAAGUGAUGUGUAUUCCUUUUCUAUACACUGUAUAUUGUAUAGUAUUACAAUCUCUCUCUUUUUUUUUUUUUUUUUUUACAGUAACAGAAAGGGUUUCUUGAGAACACGCAAAAUGCAUCUCUAACAAAGAGGAAGGUAGUGCAUCGGGUCACGAGCACAUCCAAAAACAAAACAAGCUUAAUCUCUGACUUCCUGUUUUUGUUGUUUUUUUUGUUGUACAUUAACACUUUGUAAAAUAAUAAGCCACAGGAAAUGAGUUCUAAAGUGUCUGAUGAAAGGAGCUAAGCAACAGCGAGCGCGCCACUGACACGAACAAACACAGACAGUCGGGUCUCACUUUUCAUCAUUUGGGAGAGCGAUAAAGAACUGUGAAGAAAUGGGAAACGAGUAUGGAGUCUUUGUAGGGUUCUUUGCCGGAUGGUUUCGUUACUUCUUGUUCUUCGUCUGGGUUUUGGACAUUGUACUGAUUUGGAUUGUAACAUACCUGGACAUUUAUUUGAUCAGAAGAAUCAGAAAUUUCUGUCACAUCUAUAGCUGCCACCCUCCCAGGCUUCAUUUCCAAAAAAAAUACGCAGCCUUAGUACGUGACGACUUAGAGACUCCGCCACCAUGAGACGUCCCGAUGAAAGUCUCACUCCGAGCAUUGCUCUAAUGAUGACUUCAAGUUUUAUGUUUAUUGGACUGCUUCUCUUGUUUGACUUCUUUUUGUUUGAUUACUUUAUCAUUCGGUCUAUCUGUUGUUUGCUUGCUGUUCGCCUGACUACAUUAUCGAUUGUUCCUUUUGUUUUGGUGGUUUUUUUGGGGUCUGAUGAUGGUCUCUUAAUAAAGCCCUGUAUUUGCAUCUGAA